CAAGAAUCAACGUUUGUUGCGAUGGAGCUUGAUAUUAUCAGAAUACAACAUGCACAUACAACACAUAAAAGGACAAGACAACUUGAUCGCUGAUUGUCUUUCAAGGCCAUGAACACUUGACAAACACGCUUCAUUGAAAAGAAAGUUAAGAAACUUUCUUUCUUUCAAGGGGGAGGGUGUUACAUGAUAAUGCUUAUAUCAUGUAAUUUUACAUACUAUUAUAUUAUACUAUAUAGCUUAUACUUUAUAUUCAUAUUAUUAACCGAAUAGCUUACAUGCAUGAGUAAGCAAAUAGUUUUAAAGAUUAAGAUGUCCCACAACUAACGUAGCGGACAUGACUCGGUUUGGCGUUGGCCGAUUUGUGGUUACUGAGACUUGCUUCAACGAACUGUAUUGCGUAGGGGAAAUGAGUCGUAGUUUUGUAGUUUCUUCCCCUAUAGCAGAGCGUAUAAAAGCCUGAGCACAACUAGACAAUUCAUGCAUUAUUCAUAAGGCGAAAGCCUGAAUAACAUCGCCGUGAAGAUAUAUAGAAAUUACAAGUUAAUAAAGAAAGAUUUAAAAGGA